rnacentral:rRNA from 1 species
UACGUAGGUGGCGAGCGUUGUCCGGAUUUACUGGGCGUAAAGGGAGCGUAGGCGGACUUUCAAGUGAGAUGUGAAAUACUCGGGCUCAACUUGAGUGCUGCAUUUCAAACUGGAAGUCUAGAGUGCAGGAGAGGAGAAUGGAAUUCCUAGUGUAGCGGUGAAGUGCGUAGAGAUUAGGAAGAACACCAGUGGCGAAGGCGAUUCUCUGGACUGUAACUGACGCUGAGGCUCGAAAGCGUGGGGAGCAAACAGG